rnacentral:lncRNA from 10 species
CUCACAAAGCGGUUAUUGGCAACACCGAGUUUCUCACAGGCUGUUUAACUUAGGAAGUCAGUUUAUCACUGGCUGUUGGUAUGAGGCCACCCUUGGUUCAUGAAAGCAUGCAAACUGAGAAGGGAAUAGAGAGAGUCAGCUAAUGCACAGAAGUUACAAUCUUGUAACCCAGUCAUGGAAGUGACAUUCCAUCACCUUUAUUGUAUUCUGUUGGUUACAAUCAAGUUACUAGGUCCAGCCUGUAUUCAGGGGGAGAGAAUUACACAAGCACAUGAAUGCUCAGAGGUGGGGAUCACUGUGGGCA